GAUCCUGGCUCAGGACGAACGCUGGCGGCGUGCUUAACACAUGCAAGUCGAACGAGAAUCACUGGAAGGAGUUUUCGGACAACGGUAAGGUGAGGACAGUGGCGGACGGGUGAGUAACGCGUGAGGAACCUGCCUUUCAGAGGGGGACAACAGUUGGAAACGACUGCUAAUACCGCAUGACACAUAGAGAUCGUCAUGGUUUUUAUGUCAAAGAUUUAUCGCUGAAAGAUGGCCUCGCGU
rnacentral:rRNA from 1 species